AGAGUUUGAUCAUGGCUCAGGAUGAACGCUAGCGACAGGCCUAACACAUGCAAGUCGAGGGGCAUCGGGACGUAGCAAUACGUUGCCGGCGACCGGCGGAUGGGUGAGUAACGCGUAUGCAACCUACCCGUAGCAGGGGGAUAGCCCGUUGAAAGACGGAUUAAUACCCCGUAACACAGGGGCUCCGCAUGGAGAUUAUUGUUAAAGGGUCAUUUCUUUUAGAGGUGGUCCGGCUGCGGAUGGGCAUGCGUUCCAUUAGGUAGUUGGUGUAGGUAACGGCUCACCAAGCCGACGAUGGAUAGGGGAACUGAGAGGUUGGUCCCCCACACUGGUACUGAGACACGGACCAGACUCCUACGGGAGGCAGCAGUGAGGAAUCUUGGUCAAUGGACGCAAGUCUGAACCAGCCAUGUCGCGUGAAGGAGGACGGCCCUAAGGGUUGUAAACUUCUUUUGCAGUGGAAUAAAGUUUGCCACGAGUUGGCGAUUUGCAAGUACGCUGCGAAUAAGGAUCGGCUAACUCCGUGCCAGCAGCCGCGGUAAU
rnacentral:rRNA from 1 species